rnacentral:rRNA from 1 species
CUUGCUCCUCAUUCAGCGGCGGACGGGUGAGUAAUGCCUAGGAAUCUGCCUGGUAGUGGGGGACAACGUUUCUAAAGGAACGCUACUACCGCAUACGUCCUACGGGAGAAAGCAGGGGACCUUCUGGCCUUGCGCUAUCAUAUGAGCCUAUGUCGGAUUAUCUAUUUGGUGAGGUAAUGGCUCACCAGGGCGACUAUCCGUAGCUGGUCUGAGAGGAUGAUCACUCACUCUGGAACUGACACACGGUCCACACUC